GCCUUCGUGGUGUAAUGGUCAGCAUGCUCGACGCGUAACCGAGAGGUCCGUGGUUCAAUUCCCGGCAAAGGCG
rnacentral:tRNA from 1 species